rnacentral:rRNA from 1 species
CCUACGGGAGGCAGCAGUGGGGAAUUUUGGACAAUGGGCGAAAGCCUGAUCCAGCCAUUCCGCGUGCAGGAUGAGGGCCCUCGGGUUGUAAACUGCUUUUGUACAGAACGAAAAGGUUUCUACUAAUACUAGGAGCUCAUGACGGUACUGUAAGAAUAAGCACCGGCUAACUACGUGCCAGCAGCCGCGGUAAUACGUAGGGUGCAAGCGUUAAUCGGAAUUACUGGGCGUAAAGCGUGCGCAGGCGGUUAUAUAAGUCAGAUGUGAAAUCCCCGGGCUCAACCUGGGAACUGCAUUUGAGACUGUAUAGCUAGAGUACGGUAGAGGGGGAUGGAAUUCCGCGUGUAGCAGUGAAAUGCGUAGAUAUGCGGAGGAACACCGAUGGCGAAGGCAAUCCCCUGGACCUGUACUGACGCUCAUGCACGAAAGCGUGGGGAGCAAACAGGAUUAGAUACCCUGGUAGUCCACGCCCUAAACGAUGUCAACUGGUUNUUGGGUCUUAACUGACUCAGUAACGAAGCUAACGCGUGAAGUUGACCGCCUGGGGAUACGGCCGCAAGGUUGAAACUCAAAGGAAUUGACGGCUGAGACGNGCGAGCGACGACGAGGGAGGAGG